rnacentral:rRNA from 1 species
GUAAGCCUGUGAAGGUGUGUCGUGAGGCAUGCUGGAGGUAUCAGAAGUGCGAAUGCUGACAUAAGUAACGAUAAAGCGGGUGAAAAGCCCGCUCGCCGGAAGACCAAGGGUUCCUGUCCAACGUUAAUCGGGGCAGGGUGAGUCGACCCCUAAGGCGAGGCCGAAAGGCGUAGUCGAUGGGAAACGGGUUAAUAUUCCCGUACUUGGUGUUACUGCGAAGGGGGGACGGAGAAGGCUAUGUUGGCCGGGCGACGGUUGUCCCGGUUUAAGCGUGUAGGUGUGUGUUCCAGGUAAAUCCGGUUCACUUUAACACUGAGGCGUGACGACGAGGCACUACGGUGCUGAAGCAACAAAUGCCCUGCUUCCAGGAAAAGCCUCUAAGCAUCAGGUAACACGAAAUCGUACCCCAAACCGACACAGGUGGUCAGGUAGAGAAUACCAAGGCGCUUGAGAGAACUCGGGUGAAGGAACUAGGCAAAAUGGUGCCGUAACUUCGGGAGAAGGCACGCUGACACGUAGGUGAAGUGAUUUACUCAUGGAGCUGAAGUCAGUCGAAGAUACCAGCUGGCUGCAACUGUUUAUUAAAAACACAGCACUGUGCAAACACGAAAGUGGACGUAUACGGUGUGACGCCUGCCCGGUGCCGGAAGGUUAAUUGAUGGGGUCAGCGCAAGCGAAGCUCCUGAUCGAAGCCCCGGUAAACGGCGGCCGUAACUAUAACGGUCCUAAGGUAGCGAAAUUCCUUGUCGGGUAAGUUCCGACCUGCACGAAUGGCGUAAUGAUGGCCAGGCUGUCUCCACCCGAGACUCAGUGAAAUUGAACUCGCUGUGAAGAUGCAGUGUACCCGCGGCAAGACGGAAAGACCCCGUGAACCUUUACUAUAGCUUGACACUGAACAUUGAGCCUUGAUGUGUAGGAUAGGUGGGAGGCUUUGAAGUGUGGACGCCAGUCUGCAUGGAGCCGACCUUGAAAUACCACCCUUUAAUGUUUGAUGUUCUAACGUGGACCCGUAAUCCGGGUUGCGGACAGUGUCUGGUGGGUAGUUUGACUGGGGCGGUCUCCUCCUAAAGAGUAACGGAGGAGCACGAAGGUUGGCUAAUCCUGGUCGGACAUCAGGAGGUUAGUGCAAUGGCAUAAGCCAGCUUGACUGCGAGCGUGACGGCGCGAGCAGGUGCGAAAGCAGGUCAUAGUGAUCCGGUGGUUCUGAAUGGAAGGGCCAUCGCUCAACGGAUAAAAGGUACUCCGGGGAUAACAGGCUGAUACCGCCCAAGAGUUCAUAUCGACGGCGGUGUUUGGCACCUCGAUGUCGGCUCAUCACAUCCUGGGGCUGAAGUAGGUCCCAAGGGUAUGGCUGUUCGCCAUUUAAAGUGGUACGCGAGCUGGGUUUAGAACGUCGUGAGACAGUUCGGUCCCUAUCUGCCGUGGGCGCUGGAGAACUGAGGGGGGCUGCUCCUAGUACGAGAGGACCGGAGUGGACGCAUCACUGGUGUUCGGGUUGUCAUGCCAAUGGCACUGCCCGGUAGCUAAAUGCGGAAGAGAUAAGUGCUGAAAGCAUCUAAGCACGAAACUUGCCCCGAGAUGAGUUCUCCCUGAGACUUUAGGUCUCCUGAAGGAACGUUGAAGACGACGACGUUGAUAGGCCGGGUGUGUAAGCGCAGCGAUGCGUUGAGCUAACCGGUACUAAUGAACCGUGAGGCUUAACCUU